rnacentral:lncRNA from 1 species
CUCCCUUUCUCCCAUGUAGCUCAAAGCCUGCUUCAAAGCUCAGGCCAUCUGACUUCCUUCUGCCUUCUUCCUGCAGACUCUGGAAGUCCCCAGGCCAGGAGGCAGGGGGCUUGCACUGCUUCAGAGAGGUUGCAGUUGGUUCUGGCUGAGGGCCUUCGUCCCAUUCACUCCCCUCAGUGCAGGGCCUGAGCCGGAGUGCGCGGCUGACGCUAACCCUGGUGCGAGGGGCCAAGGCGGCCUGGGGAGCCCCGGGAAACUUUGUGCUCGCAAGAAGCGGACCCCGCACCCGCGCUGCCCCGGGGGAUGCGCGAUUCUGCACGGCGGCGGCGCGAUCCCGGAGCCCCGGCGGGCAGACGCUCCGGACAGUAGCCCACCCUUCUAGCCUUGCAGACCGUGAAUGGGAUGGCCAAUGUGAAUCCCGCCAGCCGCCCUCACUACGCCUCCUCCAUCCCGGUGCCUCGUGCCUCUUCCCAG